UGAGGAGGUUAGGAAACUCGAGGUCUCUGACUUCGAAUCCGUAGGCCGCAGGUUCGAAUCCUGCCGGGCGCGCCA
rnacentral:tRNA from 1 species